GAUGAACGCUGGCGGCGUGCCUAAUACAUGCAAGUAGAACGCUGAAGGAGGAGCUUGCUCUUCUGGAUGAGUUGCGAACGGGUGAGUAACGCGUAGGUAACCUGCCUGGUAGCGGGGGAUAACUAUUGGAAACGAUAGCUAAUACCGCAUGACAACAGUUAUUGCAUGAUAACUGUUUAAAAGGGGCAACUGCUCCACUACCAGAUGGACCUGCGUUGUAUUAGCUAGUUGGUGAGGUAACGGCUCACCAAGGCGACGAUACAUAGCCGACCUGAGAGGGGGGUCGGCCACCCUGGGAAUGGGACACGGCCCAGACUCCCACGGGAAGGAGCCAGAGGGAAUCUUCGGCAAUGGGCGGAAGUCUGACCGCACAACGCCGCGUGAGGGAACAAGGUUUUCGGGUCGUAAAGCUCUGUUUUAAGGGAAGAACGAGUGUGAGAGUGGAAAGUUCACACUGUGACGGUAUCUUACCAGAAAGGGACGGCUAACUACGUG
rnacentral:rRNA from 1 species